CUCUAAUCUGAUUGGUGUCUCCUAGGUGAUGUCCGUCCCACCCUGACGGUGCUGCCCCCCUCCAGUGAGGAGCUGCUGAAGGGGAAGGCCACGCUCAUGUGCCUGGCCAACAAGGGCUUCCCCUCAGACUGGAGUCUGGCCUGGAAGGUGGACGGCAGCAGCAGCAGCAGCAGCAGCAGCAGCUGGGAGGAGAGCAGGAGCCCCGGGGUGCUGGAGAAGGACGGCAAAUACAGCUGGAGCAGCACCCUGAGGCUCCCUGCAGACCAGUGGGAGAAGGUGGGCUCUGUGACCUGUGAGGCCACCCAGGGCUCCCAGACUCCACUCUCAGAGACACUGAGGAGAGACCAGUGUUCCCAGUCCUGACCU